CUCUUCCUCGAAGUGUAGGCUUGAGUUGUAUCCUGUUCCCUGACAUUUGUUUCUUAGUUUUACAGUUGGUCUUCAUCCAGAUCAGAUGGUUUAACAGGUGGGCAUUCAUUCUUCAGGAUGGAUUCCACAAUCAUGAUUGGUAUCGGUGGCAGCAUGCUACUGGCCUUAUUCGUGCUGCUGGUUUUUGUCAUCUGCCUUUACCUCAAAGUGGCCAAUGCACUGAAACCUCCAAAGAUGAAGGCCACGUGUUACCCCGCCAUCCCGGGCUGUGAUCAAUGUAACUUGUACACCGACUGUGACCCCCUGCUUCCUUGCGUCUGUAACGUAAAUGAGGGCCUCUGACUUGGUGCCAUAAAUAUCUUCAUGACAAAUA